UACGUAGGGUGCGAGCGUUGUCCGGAAUUAUUGGGCGUAAAGAGCGUGUAGGCGGUCCGGUAAGUCAGCUGUGAAAGUCAAGGGCUCAACCCUUGAAAGCCGGUUGAUACUGUCGGGCUAGAGUCCGGAAGAGGCGAGUGGAAUUCCCGGUGUAGCAGUGAAAUGCGCAGAUAUCGGGAGGAACACCAAUGGCGAAGGCAGCUCGCUGGGACGGUACUGACGCUGAGACGCGAAAGCGUGGGGAGCAAACAGG
rnacentral:rRNA from 1 species